GCGGCGGUAGUAUAGUGGUCUAGUAUGUGGCGUUGCCAACGCUGCGACCCGGGUUCAAAUCCCGGCCGCCGCA
rnacentral:tRNA from 1 species